rnacentral:rRNA from 1 species
UACGUAGGCAGCAAGCGUUGUUCGGAGUUACUGGGCGUAAAGGGUGCGUAGGCGGCCGUGUAAGUGUGGUGUGAAAUCUCCCCGGCUUAACUGGGAGGGUGCGCUACAGACUGCAUGGCUAGAGUGUGGGAGAGGAAAGUGGAAUUCCUGGUGUAGCGGUGAAAUGCGUAGAUAUCAGGAGGAACACCGGUGGUGUAAACGGCUUCUGGACCAUAACUGACGCUGAUGCACGAAAGCGUGGGUAGCAAACAGG